AGUGCUUCCGGCAGCCUGGUUAGCGUGAAACCAGGAAAGCGCAGGCGCAGCAAUUGCUGCUUACUUGUGGGGAGGAGGAGGAGUUUCUCAGACCGAGGUGACGAAAGGCUGGGAGGCGCUAAAAUGAGACAGCCGGAGCCCCCCUUUCCUGUCCACAAACUACAAUGCCUCGGUAUCUGCAUUUAUUGUGAUUCAAGCACUGUGCUAAAGAGUUUUUAAUAUGCCGUGGAAAAUUGUGCCAGAAAAUUAUGGUUUGAACAUGGGCAGUUUUCUCCUACCUUCAGCUAUAUCCACAAGCACCACAUGAAAUGGAGAUCUGGCAGCUCUGUGUAUUUCAGUCAAGUUCUACAAUGAAACCUGACAACUACGGUAAAAACCAAAUAAGUGCCAGUGUUUGUUUUCACUGUCCCUGCAUAUUAACUAUGUAACCUCUUUUCUCAAAUAUGACAAUUAUAUUUCCUCUAAAUUAUCUUUUUUCCUUUACCAAAGAGUUUCCUCAUCAAGUCUUCUGUACUAGGUUAUUCAAAUUCUGCUUCUGUUAUUUCAGUUAUUUUACUUUGAACAAUGAAUAGUUUUGAGAAGAUAGAUUUGUCUGUAAUGGCGUUGGAUGCCUUUGUAUAGAACUGGUUUUUAAAAGGCAAAGAAAUUUAACCCUAAUUUUAUAACUAUUCCUGGAAACUUUACAUCGGUAUUGCAAGUGCUGCAUGUUGUUAAAAAAAAAAAAAAAGUCUUUUAAAGAUAACAUAUAAGCAAUAUUGUAAAUACUGUAAAUAUUUUCAUUGCAGAGAUAAAAAAUACCCUCUUAAGUAACAAAUAAACCUUUCUAAUAUCAGGUGAAUGGCUAUUGUGGCUUGGAAUAUCAGUUUCAGUGAAGGCACUGAAGCACUGGAAGUCUAUAUUUCAAAUAACUUGGGUAGUAAGGGAGAUAAUAUGAAAAACAGCAUGGGAGAACUCACAGUGGGCUCUAAUGAUGGCAAAGCCACUCAUGCCAAAGAUAAAAAUGAAGGAUUUGAAAAAUAUGACAGUUAGCACCUAUAUAUACUUCAAGCAUUUGUGUGCCAAGCAUUUCUUUAAGUACUUUGUACUUUUUAACUCAAUUACUCCUCCUCUUAACAACCCAGUGAGGUGGGUGCCCUAUAACUCCCAUUUGACACAUGAGGAAAUUGAGAACAGAGUAAGUAAUUUGUUAAACAUUAUUAUGCUAGAAAAUAGUAGACUAGACAUUUUGAACUCAUUCCUGAGUCCUUAUGCUAAACCACUAGGCUGUAUUGUUAUUAUGUUAUGAAAUGUGAAUGUAGAAAAGUCAAUAAUUCUGAUUAAUAUCCUAAUUUAUCUAAAAUGUGAUUACUGAAAUCCAUAUAAAUUAAAAUUGCAACUAGACAUUUGAUAAUUGCAUCUGCGUCUCCACAUGUAUAUAUAUUCAAAUUGAUAAAAAAUAUUUUCUGUAAUGUUCUCAUUGGGCAAAUAGUAUUUAAACCUUAUGUUUAAGUUUAUGUUACAUUAGUCAUGUAUGUUAAUUGAUAUUGCAUAGUGGUUAAGGGUACAGGCCCUGGAGCCAGACUGCAUGGAUUUACAUUCUGUACUACUUACUUGCCAUGGAGCUUCAGUAAUUUAUUUAAACUCUUUGUACCUCACUUUUCUCAUCUGUAAAAGCAAGAUAAGAGUGUUCAUUGCUAGAAGGGUUAUAUGACAUAAUGUAUUCAAGUAUAAGUGUCUAACUACUAAGUAUUCAAUAAAUAUUUGCAAUAAUUAUUGUUGAAUCUAUGUAGCUACAGAAGCAAUACUAUUUCUUCAGGAAAAAUCGACUUUUUAAAAGCUAUAAGGAUUGGGUUUGAACAAGCUAACUACGUCUAAGAUCAAUUAUAAAUGUUCACUCUGUCGUUUGCCCUGCAGAUUCUGUAUUAUAAUUUGCUUUUUGAUAA